rnacentral:rRNA from 1 species
UACGGAGGGUGCAAGCGUUAUCCGGAUUCACUGGGUUUAAAGGGUGCGUAGGCGGGCAGGUAAGUCAGUGGUGAAAUCCUAGAGCUUAACUCUAGAACUGCCAUUGAUACUAUCUGUCUUGAAUAUUGUGGAGGUAAGCGGAAUAUGUCAUGUAGCGGUGAAAUGCUUAGAUAUGACAUAGAACACCUAUUGCGAAGGCAGCUUACUACGCAUAUAUUGACGCUGAGGCACGAAAGCGUGGGGAUCAAACAGGAUUAGAUACCCUGGUAGUCCACGCCCUAAACGAUGAUUACUCGACAUUUGUGAUACACUAUAAGUGUCUGAGCGAAAGCAUUAAGUAAUCCACCUGGGAAGUACGACCGCAAGGUUG